AAGUCGUAACAAGGUUUCCGUAGGUGAACCUGCGGAAGGAUCAUUACAAUACGUUACUUCACGUAUCAACCCAAACUGUUGAACUGUAAAAAGGCGUCCGAUAGGAAAGACACUUCAUGGGUUACGAGAGACUGGCGGCUUUGAAGUUGUGCACUUCGGUCGGUUUCUCUUUUUUGUUUCUGAGCAAUCGGAGCAAAAAGCCCCCGUUUUUCCUAGUUCGCGUAUUUAUUUACAUUUUUUAACCCCUUUCACCAAACUAUUAUUUCAACAACCAAUUGAACUGAAUUCGAAGGAUGCUGAAAAGCGUCUAUUUCGAUUCUAUCUUUACGAAACGUAAGAACAACUCUUAACAACGGAUAUCUUGGCUCUC
rnacentral:misc_RNA from 1 species